rnacentral:rRNA from 1 species
ACAGGGUGACAGGUGGUGCAUGGUUGUCGGUCAGCUCGUGUCGUGAGAUGUUGGGUUAAAGUCCCGCAACGAGCGCAACCCUUGUCAUUAGUUGCUACAUUUAGUUGGGCACUCUAAUGAGACUGCCGGGUGGACAAAACCCGGGAGGAAGGUGGGGAUGACGUCAAGUCCUCAUGGCCCUUAUAGUGGGGCUACACACGUCAUACAAUGGCCGGUACAAAGGGCUGCCAACCCGCGAGGGGGAGCCAAUCCCAUAAAACCGGUCGUAGUCCGGAUCGCAGUCUGCAACUCGACUGCGUGAAGUCGGAAUCGCUAGUAAUCGUGGAUCAGAAUGUCACGGUGAAUACGUUCCCGGGUCUU